UGAAAUGCUUAGAUNUCACGGAGAACUCCAAUUGCGAAGGCAGCUUACUAGGCUACAACUGACGCUGAAGCACGAAAGCGUGGGGAUCAAACAGGAUUAGAUACCCUGGUAGUCCACGCAGUAAACGAUGAUAACUAGCUGUUUGCGAUACACAGUAAGCGGCACAGCGAAAGCGUUAAGUUAUCCACCUGGGGAGUACGCCGGCAACGGUGAAACUCAAAGGAAUUGACGGGGGCCCGCACAAGCGGAGGAACAUGUGGUUUAAUUCGAUGAUACGCGAGGAACCUUACCCGGGCUUGAACGUAGGGAGACAGUUCUGGAAACAGAAUCUCUAGCAAUAGCUGCCUACGAGGUGCUGCAUGGUUGUCGUCAGCUCGUGCCGUGAGGUGUCGGCUUAAGUGCCAUAACGAGCGCAACCCACAUCGAUAGUUACUAACAGGUUAAGCUGAGGACUCUAUCGAGACUGCCAGCGUAAGCUGUGAGGAAGGUGUGGAUGACGUCAAAUCAGCGCGGCCCUUACGUCCGGGGCGACACACGUGUUACAAUGGGAGGUACAAAGGGCAGCUACCUGGCGACAGGAUGCUAAUCUCUAAAACCUUUCUCAGUUCGGAUUGGAGUCUGCAACUCGACUCCAUGAAGCUGGAUUCGCUAGUAAUCGCGCAUCAGCCAUGGCGCGGUGAAUACGUUCCCGGGCCUUGUACACACCGCCCGUCAAGCCAUGGAAGCUGGGGGUACCUGAAGUAUGCAACCGCAAGGAGCGUCCUAGGGUAAAACCGGUAACUGGGGCU
rnacentral:rRNA from 1 species